CCUACGGGGAGCAGCAGUGAGGAAUAUUGGUCAAUGGACGCAAGUCUGAACCAGCCAUGCCGCGUGCAGGAAGACGGCUCUAUGAGUUGUAAACAGCUUUUGUACGAGGGUAAACGCAGAUACGCGUAUCUGUCUGAAAGUAUCGUACGAAUAAGGAUCGGCUAACUCCGUGCCAGCAGCCGCGGUAAUACGGAGGAUUCAAGCGUUAUCCGGAUUUAUUGGGUUUAAAGGGUGCGUAGGCGGUCGGAUAAGUUAGAGGUGAAAUCCCGAGGCUCAACUUCGGAAUUGCCUCUGAUACUGUUCGGCGAGAGAGUAGUUGCGGUAGGCGGAAUGUAUGGUGUAGCGGUGAAAUGCUUAGAGAUCAUACAGAACACCGAUUGCGAAGGCAGCUUACCAAGCUACUUCUGACGUUGAGGCACGAAAGCGUGGGGAGCAAACAGGAUUAGAUACCCCUGUAGUC
rnacentral:rRNA from 1 species